GUGGGGGUAGUGGGGUGUUUUUUUCUUUCUCACACACGCACAGUCUCCCUCACUCUUUUUUUUUUUUUUUUGGCUCUCUGUUAUUAUUUUCUGGUAAUUUUCGAAUGUUUCUGUGAGUCUCUCCGCUCUCAGUGUUUUGAUUGCUGUGAGGCAAACCAGCGUGGAGGCGGCGGCGACACUUUGUUUACUACCGGGGAGCAGAACCGAGUACUCGGGAAGCCCGAGUGGAACGAGUCGCUCGCUUGCCCUCGACCUCCGCUCCGGGCCCAAAGCCGGGCGGGGCGGGGGCCGGAGACGCUGGGCGCUUCGGGGGCGCUGAGUGGGCGGGCGGAGGCGGCCUCGCGGAAUUCUGCUCAGUCGCCCCCUCUCGACUCCGCCCUCGACUCCUUUGCUGAGAAACGCGGGGAAGUCGGAGGAAUUAUGGAAGGCAUUUCCUUUCAAAGGGAUGGGCUCACUUAGGAUGGAAGAUUGACGAGUAGACACAGACUGACAAGACUGGGGGAGGAAGGAUGGAGAAGGAAGCAGAAUACCUCCACCUGGAUAGGGAAGCAAGCCACGUCUGUCCCUCCCUCAUCUCCAGCCAAGGCGUGUAAAAAGAGAGGAAGUAGGUUUUGAGAAUGGAUCAAUCUUUAAAGGAAAUUUAUGCUUUCGACUUUCACAAACAAUGAUAAUAGUAUGGAGGCAGAUUGCUGAAUAGCCAUUAUGAAAAACCAAAAUCCCUGAAAGGAAACACUCCAUGCCACAAGAGGUCAAGGGGCAGAAGGACUACUAGAAGGGUCAGGAAGUAAGGCACAGAGGCUGACUACUUGAGGCCUGGGAGGAGAGGAGACCCAGGUAGCUGGCUAACUGAGCAGUGUGGCUUCUUAUGCUUCCAUUGAAGAUGAUGGAUUGGUAUUGUAGGAUCCAUUCUUUAAAAAAGAAUUCUCAAUCCAAUGCUGUGUUGAAUUACCAGUGGUGAGAGUGGGGAUCCUUGUCUUGUUCCGGAUUUCCGUGGGAAGGCUUUUAGCUUUUCUCAGUUAUUAUAUUUGCUGUGGGUUUGUCAUAAAUGGCUUUUAUUGUGUUAAGGUA